GACGAACGCUGGCGGCGUGCCUAAUACAUGCAAGUCGAACGAGAGCGACCGGUGCUUGCACUGGUCAAUCUAGUGGCGAACGGGUGAGUAACACGUGGGUAACCUGCCCAUCAGAGGGGGAUAACAUCCGGAAACGGAUGCUAAAACCGCAUAGGUCUUCGAGCCGCAUGGCUUGAAGAGGAAAAGAGGCGCAAGCUUCUGCUGAUGGAUGGACCCGCGGUGCAUUAGCUAGUUGGUGAGGUAACGGCUCACCAAGGCCGUGAUGCAUAGCCGACCUGAGAGGGUGAUCGGCCACACUGGGACUGAGACACGGCCCAAACUCCUACGGGAGGCAGCAGUAGGGAAUCUUCCGCAAUGGACGCAAGCCUGACGGAGCAACGCCGCGUGAGUGAAGAAGGUUUUCGGAUCGUAAAACUCUGUUGUUAGAGAAGAACAAGUGCUAGAGUAACUGUUAGCGCCUUGACGGUAUCUAACCAGAAAGCCACGGCUAACUACGUG
rnacentral:rRNA from 1 species